UACGUAGGGUGCAAGCGUUAAUCGGAAUUACUGGGCGUAAAGCGUGCGCAGGCGGCUUUGCAAGACAGAUGUGAAAUCCCCGGGCUCAACCUGGGAACUGCAUUUGUGACUGCAUGGCUAGAGUACGGUAGAGGGGGAUGGAAUUCCGCGUGUAGCAGUGAAAUGCGUAGAUAUGCGGAGGAACACCGAUGGCGAAGGCAAUCCCCUGGACCUGCACUGACGCUCAUGCACGAAAGCGUGGGGAGCAAACAGG
rnacentral:rRNA from 1 species